rnacentral:rRNA from 1 species
CACGCUGUAAACGAUGUAUAUUAGGCGCUAGGGAGUAUCGACCCUCCUUGGUGCCACAGCUAACGCGAUAAAUAUACCGCCUGGGGAGUACGGCCGCAAGGCUAAAACUCAAAGGAAUUGACGGGGACCCGCACAAGCGGUGGAGCAUGUGGUUUAAUUCGACGAUAAGCGAGGAACCUUACCAGGUCUUGACAUACAGCUGCAAAUCCGUGGAAACAUGGACUCCUUCGAGGGUGCUGAACAGGUGC